ACCGCGUAUGAAGUACGUUUUCACCUCGGGUGACAGGGAGACAGGUGGUGCAUGGUUGUCGUCAGCUCGUGUCGUGAGAUGUUGGGUUAAGUCCCGCAACGAGCGCAACCCCUACGUUUAGUUGCUAACAGGUGAAGCUGAGCACUCUAGACGAACUGCCGUUGACAAAACGGAGGAAGGUGGGAUGACGUCAAAUCAUCAUGCCCUUAUGUUCUGGGCUACACACGUGCUACAAUGGCCGGUACAGACGGAGGCGAAGCCGCGAGGCGGAGCAAAUCCGAAAAAGCCGGUCUCAGUUCGGAUUGCAGGCUGCAAUUCGCCUGCAUGAAGUCGGAAUCGCUAGUAAUCGCAGGUCAGCAUACUGCGGUGAAUACGUUCCCGGGCCUU
rnacentral:rRNA from 1 species